GAUGAACGCCGGCGGCGUGCUUAACACAUGCAAGUCGAACGGUCUGAGUAAUCGGACAGUGGCGCACGGGUGAGGAACACGUAGCUCAUCUGCCCUCAAGAGUGGGAUAACGCUCCGAAAGGAGUGCUAAUACCGCAUAAGCUCCCGGAUUGCAGAGGUCUGGGAGAAAAGGCGAAGCUCGUAAGAGCCAGUCGCUUGAGGAGGAGGCUGCGGCCCAUCAGGUAGUUGGUGCGGUAACGGCGCACCAAGCCGACGAC
rnacentral:rRNA from 1 species